rnacentral:rRNA from 1 species
UAUUUUAUAACAUAACCAGACCCUUUUAUACAGACUUAAGUGAACACAAGUAUUACUAAUGGAAGUACAUCUACAAGGGAACAGAAAGACAAGAACGAAAAAUGAAAUGGAGCACUAAACCGCAGUUUACGUGGACAUAGAGUAAUUAUAUAUAAUUGUAUGACAUAAACAAGACAGUGCUCGUUUUGAAUUCACCGUCUUAUAAAACACUUUAGGAUAAACUAUACACGUAUUUUGUAAAUAAAGAACCGGUAUGAGAAACAUAUACUCACCGACAUCUAAACGUCAAGAGUGACGAAAGUUCAAAGUUGAUAGAACGUACGGAAAAAAGACACUCUUUAUUAAUCGGAGAGAGAACGUCAAGAUAUUGAACAGUUGAACCGAAACCAUUAAGGACCCUGACUGCCUUGGUGACUUUUACCACCAAGACCGUCGAAGAUAUUAUAGUUUCAGACCUUUCCGUGAACGAAGCUCCGUUAUACAACUGUACAGAGCCUAUUCCUAGCUCCCUGACGAACGUCGUAAAGGUUUCAACCAACCUUGACCUUUCGUUGUAUGAAUACAACUCUGUCUUUUACAAGCAAUACAAAUAGUUGGUUAACUUCUCGACAUAGACGAUGAGUAGUGUUUAUUCAUCUCAUUGUAGGAACUUCUAGACCUGUGUGACUCCGACGAGAGGUUUUAACAUGGACUUAUGAGGGGAAGAAACCUGCUUCUCCCACAGACGUUCCGGCGUAAGGUUGAAUAUAAACGAAAACUACUUCGGUAAAGAGAACCUUUGUUCCUUUUACAUUGACAAGGUGUUUAAUUUGUUAUAACGCUUUACCUCUCGGUACUUCUCUUCGAUGUGUUCGACUAGUACGUUUCGUUCUAUUUACUGUGAUUGCUAGAGUACUCCUCUUUUCAAUGACUCUAACUCUUUUUGUUCUAACUAUCUCCGUUCUGACCCCUUCCUAAACGAGGCUGUUCUUGAGGCUUAUUGAAAUUACUGUACUUGAAAUCUCCACCAGGUCCCAGUCUCUAACCAGGAUAUAAAUGACUGUUCUGUUUUCCCGCUAGUAGACGAGGAAGAGGACGAGGAUCAUUUUACGGACCACCUUACUUUAAUUCAUUUCGUGUGUUCGGUUUAGUCAAGGACCUCAGAAACUUUCGACUUCCUCUUCAAUAAGACCUCCUAUGAGUUGAUUCCAGUUUCAGUAGUAGUAGAUAAGGUGGUUCACUAGGAUAGUGUCACUGAUAACUUCUCUUCAACUUACAGUGUCAAUUUUCCCUACCGCCUCAAUGAUUAAAACUACAAGUUCCUUGGGAACGAGAGGUUCAAGAAUUACUGUGACUACCAAUAUAGGUCAACGUCUAACUCUUGGUUCUACGUGGACCUGAAUCGAAGUCCUGCGUGGGAUUAUAACUGUUUGUCGACAAGUUGCCGGUCUUUUAACAACCCCGUUCUCUAGGUAGGUCCGGAAAGGGGUCACCAGUUUUACUUUGUGGGGACCACUUUACCUCUUAGCUCCCCAACUUACUCAGAAGAGACGGUAACUGUCAGUCAACGACCGGAAGUUGUAGACCUUUAUGUUGACAACACUUGUAACUUAUACUUCGAAGUCUGUACAAACUAAACGUGUUACAAUAGCAGAGAUAGGGAGACGGGCGUGAAUCCCUACGAGGUUCACAUUUUGUCUAUCUACCUCUUACCUCCAUACUGAGUUCUUUGAGACACAACCUUACCAGACACUACGAAUAACUAGUUAGGUUGGCUUCACCAAGGUACCUCAAGAGACAAGGGCGACGACUAGGUAGCUGUAAAAAAGGGUAGAGGCAACCUAAAAGACGUAGUUUAUGUAAAUCAUUGCACUUCCAAUGACGGUAGGAAGGUAACGUCCCUCCAUCAAGUUUUAUAAGUGUCGUCCAAGCUGACCAGUGACAAUUGAUAGUUCACCAGACUACAGCAAACAAGACCAGUUCACUAACGCGUAUAGACCUCAUAUAUCCUUGAAAACUAAAAACAAGUACUGAACGACUCGGCCACACUGUAGUAGAAAGCCGAGUUCUUAAAGUACCCUAUCUCCUAUUUUUCGACCAUAUGCCUUUACGUAAAAACAUGAAAUAUAACAUCUAACCACUUGGCUUGUAACACAAGAAGCACAGGUGUCUAUGUCAUAUACCUUUAUAUAUACUGUGAGAGCAGCGGGCAAAAGACGACAAUGAUGCAACAACCUAUAGUAUGUGAUUAUACAAGAGAUUUA